rnacentral:rRNA from 1 species
GAAUUCGCCCUUAGAGUUUGAUCCUGGCUCAGGACGAACGCUGGCGGCGCGCUUAACACAUGCAAGUCGAACGGACUAAGAUUUGAGCUUGCUUAAUUCUUAGUUAGUGGCGGACGGGUGAGUAACACGUGAACAACCUGUCCCUAAGCCCGGGAUAACAGCUCGAAAGGGUUGCUAAUACCGGAUGAGUUUAUGAAUGCGCAUGCAUUUACAAACAAAGGGUUACCGCUUAGGGAGGGGUUCGCGGCCCAUCAGCUAGUUGGUGAGGUAACGGCUCACCAAGGCAACGACGGGUAGCCGGCCUGAGAGGGUGGUCGGCCACACUGGGACUGAGACACGGCCCAGACUCCUACGGGAGGCAGCAGUGGGGAAUCUUCCGCAAUGGGCGAAAGCCUGACGGAGCGACGCCGCGUGGGUGAAGAAGGCCUUCGGGUCGUAAAGCCCUGUCUAGGGGGACGAUAAUGACGGUACCCCUAGAGGAAGCCCCGGCUAACUACGUGCCAGCAGCCGCGGUAACACGUAGGGGGCGAGCGUUGUCCGGAAUUACUGGGCGUAAAGGGCGUGUAGGCGGUUUGUCAAGUCAGGUGUGGAAUCUUAAGGCUCAACCUUAAGACUGCGCCUGAAACUGACAGGCUUGAGGGCAGGAGAGGAGAGCGGAAUUCCCAGUGUAGCGGUGAAAUGCGUAGAUAUUGGGAGGAACACCAGUGGCGAAGGCGGCUCUCUGGACUGUACCUGACGCUGAGGCGCGGAAGCGUGGGGAGCAAACAGGAUUGGAUACCCUGGUAGUCCACGCUGUAAAC